GAUGAACGCUUGCGGCGUGCUUAACACAUGCAAGUCGAACGAUGAAGCCCAGCUUGCUGGGUGGAUUAGUGGCGAACGGGUGAGUAACACGUGAGUAACCUGCCCUUAACUCUGGGAUAAGCCUGGGAAACUGGGUCUAAUACCGGAUAGGAGCGUCCACCGCAUGGUGGGUGUUGGAAAGAUUUAUCGGUUUUGGAUGGACUCGCGGCCUAUCAGCUUGUUGGUGAGGUAAUGGCUCACCAAGGCGACGACGGGUAGCCGGCCUGAGAGGGUGACCGGCCACACUGGGACUGAGACACGGCCCAGACUCCUACGGGAGGCAGCAGUGGGGAAUAUUGCACAAUGGGCGCAAGCCUGAUGCAGCGACGCCGCGUGAGGGAUGACGGCCUUCGGGUUGUAAACCUCUUUCAGUAGGGAAGAAGCGAAAGUGACGGUACCUGCAGAAGAAGCACCGGCUAACUACGUGC
rnacentral:rRNA from 1 species